UACGGAGGGAGCUAGCGUUGUUCGGAAUUACUGGGCGUAAAGCGCACGUAGGCGGCUUUGUAAGUUAGAGGUGAAAGCCCGGAGCUCAACUCCGGAACUGCCUUUAAGACUGCAUCGCUUGAAUCCAGGAGAGGUGAGUGGAAUUCCGAGUGUAGAGGUGAAAUUCGUAGAUAUUCGGAAGAACACCAGUGGCGAAGGCGGCUCACUGGACUGGUAUUGACGCUGAGGCGCGAAAGCUAGGGGAGCGAACGGG
rnacentral:rRNA from 1 species